GCCAGAGAGCAUCGUAAACACAGCAAACCUGAUGCGCCUCUUAACACAAAGCUCUGAUGAAUCAGGUGAUGAUCAGCGGCGUCGUCCUGCGUCUAAGAGAUCGAGAGAGGCCCCAGAAGCGACGGACUUUGAAAGAUUUAAAGUCCAAUUCCCAGUCACCCUUGAUGGGAAGCCACCAAAUAAAAUACAAAGAACUGCAGGCGGCUUCAGCGGCUACAGGGCCCUGUACGACAAGUGGAGAGCUCUGCAGUUCAAGAUGAGGGAGAAACACCUUCUUGGUAAGUGGACUGCAGUCAUUUAUGUGUGAUCAUUAGCUACACUUUUUGAAAGAAUAUUAACCCAUUCAAUUUGUAUUUGAUCUCUUUGUAGCCAAAUGGUCCAGGCGCCCCCCUACCCUCCAAAAAAUCCAGACCAUCAUCGAAAGGGAGCAGUGGCAAACCAACUGCCCAACACCUCAGGUCAUCAUGACAAAGUGGAGUCCACCUUAGAAGGAGUAAGUGGAGUUGAGCCAUCUGCUGAUGAAGCUGGUCCGCAGUCAGAAGUGGAAGCAUCUGGCUGUGGUCGAGCAGUCGCCAAAGGCUGGCGAGGGGA